UACGGAGGAUCCAAGCGUUAUCCGGAAUCAUUGGGUUUAAAGGGUCCGUAGGCGGUUUAAUAAGUCAGUGGUGAAAGCCCAUCGCUCAACGGUGGAACGGCCAUUGAUACUGUUAAACUUGAAUUAUUAGGAAGUAACUAGAAUAUGUAGUGUAGCGGUGAAAUGCUUAGAGAUUACAUGGAAUACCAAUUGCGGAAGGCAGGUUACUACUAAUGGAUUGACGCUGAUGGACGAAAGCGUGGGUAGCGAACAGG
rnacentral:rRNA from 1 species